rnacentral:rRNA from 1 species
UACGGGGGGGGUAAGCGUUGUUCGGAAUUACUGGGCGUAAAGGGCUCGUAGGCGGCCAACUAAGUCGGACGUGAAAUCCCUCAGCUUAACUGGGGAACUGCGUCUGAUACUGGAUGGCUUGGAUUUGGGAGAGGGAUGCGGAAUUCCAGGUGUAGCGGUGAAAUGCGUAUAUAUCUGGAGGAACACCGGUGGCGAAGGCGGCAUCCUGGACCAACACUGACGCUGAUGAGCGAAAGCCAGGGGAGCAAACGGG